rnacentral:rRNA from 1 species
GAUGAACGCUGGCGGCGUGCUUAACACAUGCAAGUCGAACGGAAAGGCCUCAGCUUGCUGGGGUACUCGAGUGGCGAACGGGUGAGUAACACGUGGGUGAUCUGCCCUGCACUUUGGGAUAAGCUUGGGAAACUGGGUCUAAUACCGAAUAUGACCACUUCUUGGAUGUUGUGGUGGAAAGCUUUUGCGGUGGGGGAUGAGCCUGCGGCCUAUCAGCUUGUUGGUGGGGUAAUGGCCUACCAAGGCGGCGACGGGUAUCCGGCCUGAGAGGGUGUACGGACACGUUGGGACUGAGAUACGGCCCAGACUCCUACGGGAGGCAGCAGUGGGGAAUAUUGCACAAUGGGCGCAAGCCUGAUGCAGCGACGCCGCGUGGGGGAUGAAGGCCUUCGGGUUGUAAACUCCUUUCGCUAUCGACGAAGCCACUUGUGGUGACGGUAGGUAGAUAAGAAGCACCGGCUAACUACGUGCCAGCAGCCGCCGUAA